UCCCCAGCUUCUCAAUUUCCCAUUCUUUUUCUGUUCUUUUAUGACAUGGUUUUGAACAUCUUGGGCUCUCCUGAAUAUAUUCCAGUUCAUAUUAAUAAUGAUGAUGAUAAUGACUGGCGAAUAUAAACCUGAACCUCGACUCCACUCUUUACCAGCAUCAUCUCUUUGAAUCCUCACAAAGCCUUGGGGACAGUCUCAUCGUCUUGAUGUUAAAUACUAGUCAUUAUUCAUAGAAAAUACAAGAGUGCCCAUAUAUUUUCCUGCUAUACUAUGCUGAAUAUCAGGCAAAAUGUUAACCACUGGAAACUGUACUAACCUGAAAUGAGUCAGCACCUUGUAAAGCAAAGAGAAUGGAUUCCUCUAUUAGAAGAGCAUGAAGAAGCUGUUUAUAAACUGUAAAGGUCUGGAGGUGAACAUUCCAAGGUCAGUAAGGAUUCCAAGCUGCAGAGACUCCAGGUCCUGUCUUGGUGCUCUGCCAUCCUGCCAUCCUCUGCCAUGGCCCAUGUCUGCAUGAAUAUUUGAACACAUGGGUGGAUGGAUAUUCCAGCCAGCAGGACUGAGUCCUUCACUCUGCCCAGGAAAACGCUGAGAUGAAUUCUGCCAUGAGCAAGCAAGGCAUUUCAUCUGACUGACUCAGGUUCAUAAUCAACAAAGAAGAAUAUGCGCAUCUAUGCUAAGAAAGUGCUGACGAGCGGAACUGCUUCUGUAUCUUUGACCUGUGAAGUGUGUUUUUCUGAUUGAUCUUGGAACUUAUAUUUUUUGCUUACCAAAGAGAGGG
ensembl:lncRNA